AUGAGCUUCGCUGGGCUGACGUGUGCGUUCUACUUGCUCAUUGCCGGUCAGCAGUUGUGGGCUGGGCUCGACGUAAAUUUAUUUCUUGCUCCAACAUUGGGCAGGUCGCGACCCACAGGUUGGCUUUGCUAUAGCUCUGCCAAUGUAUACAGAUAUCAUAAAUGUCCAUAUAGUACUAAGCAAUGUUGUAUUGUACUCCCUCCGUUCCUAAAUACAAGUCUUUGUACAGAGAUCACUAUGAACCACAUACGGAUGUAUAUAGAUGCAUUUUAUAGUGUAGAUUCGUUCAUUUUGCUCCGUAUGUAG
rnacentral:rRNA from 1 species